CAGCAACCUGAGAGGGAGGAGAAAUCCUGCAUGCAGCCACCACUGCAUGCAGUGAAGCAGCUGAAGUUUAUUCAGCAGUAAAAACAGGAGAUGGGACUCAUGGAGAGAGAGUCAUCAACCAGAAGAAGAAGAAGCAGAGGUCAAAGGCCAAAGAGAAUCAACCAGACCCAAAUCUUCUCUACUCCUCAGUGAGGUCGCCCAGAGUUGACCUCUGACCUCCAGCAGCUGUUAGCUUCUCAUCGCUGAGUCAGAUCUACUGGGAUUUAGCUGGACUGGUUUCCAGUAGCAGCUCAGGAAACCAGUAGCAUGAGCUAAGUGUUGUCAGAGACUGGGCUAACGGCUAACAGCAGCCCAAGCUAACAACAAGCUAACAACAAGCUAACAACAAGCUAAUUCUUUGCUUUUUAUGUAUUUUAACUGAGCAGCAACAUGUUGACCAGCAGAGGAAAUAAAACAUUUCAUCACAGCAGCUGUUACUGUGCGGCGGCCAUGUUGGAUUUUAAGCUCUGGGUUUAAAUGUUUGAAUGUUUUUAAUCUGGAAAUUUAAAGUUUCAGAUUAGCUUCAUGCUAAUUUAGCUUCUGAAGAUGGAAAGGAUUUUAUUUUAAACUUUACAAUAAAUAAUUUUCUGGUGUCUCAGAAUCUGCAUCAAAUAAUAAAUGAAUGAAUUUAUUCUGUUUUUUAUGUAACUUUAAUGUCAUGUUAGUCUCAGGUUUAGAGGUGAUUUUAUAAUAACUUAAUUUCUACUAAACUCUUGUUUGUGUUUAGUUCAGAGACAACAGAUGUCAUUUUGUUACUGUUACCCUGAACAGAUUGAAUUACAAUAUAAAUCUUAAUUUACUGAUAAAACAGCAGAAAAUGAGUUAAUGGUGAAAACUGAAGAUUCUGCUGUUAUUUGAUCAGCUUUAAAUCCAGACAUGGUGGCUGAAGCUGAACAUCAGAGUCUGAUUUAUCCUGAUGGAUGAGAAGCUGGAGAUCCUAAAAUACUGAUUUCACUCAGACAUGAAGCUUCUUUAAAACUGUUUCAUGAACUAAAAGAGGAUUUUCAGUUUUGAUCAGCUCUGAGUUCAGAUGGAGGUUUUAUUUACAGCUGAGAGCUUCAGUGAUGAAGGAGUGAUGAAGAGGAGGCUGAUCUCACUCAGCUUCAUCACUCAGGUUGAGAUCAGCCUGACUGCUAAUAUGACCUGAACUUUAAGUCUUUUAUUUCAUCAUCUAACUUCUGCUUUCAGUGACUUAAUGCAGCCUGUAGAUAAACCAACAUCAGCAGCAGAAACUCGGCUUCUUGUUUCCUGUUUCUGUUUUUCUCCUCAUUGUGGAAAAAGUUUGACCUUUGACCUUCUUCUUCCCAUCGUUGCUUCAGGCUCUGAUGUUUCCAGACUUUUCUUCAUCUGUUGGCUCCUUUAAUCAGCCAUCAGGUUAAAUCAGCUCCUUUUAGCCUCUCAGUUUUCACCAUAACUCCACAUUUAUGGUUAUUUUUAACAUCUAAAAGCAGAAAAUCACAUGUUGCAGCUGCUAGCUGAACAUUUCUGCUCAUUUUUUCUGAUCAUAAUUUUAGCAGCGAACCGUUUUUCUCCUCUGUGGUGAAAUGUGUUUAUUGUUGCUGAUAGAGACGAGAAGCCGAUCAGUUCCUCUUCUCUACAUGAUUUAUAUUUAGUGAUUAAAAAACUGUGAAAACUU